AUUAAACAUACUUUUAUUUUGUAGUGUCCAAAAAGCAAGCGAAAUUGCCAGAAGAGCACGCUUUCCUGAAAAAUUUUCGUUCGAUGACGAGGUCUUGACUUGACCUUCGUUCGCCAUGGCGUACGUGCCAAAUGCGCAUCUAUCGCUCUCUCUUUCUAACCCUGGAGGAGAACUAAGCGCAGAAAAGAAGAUCAAAAAGGAAUGAGAUAGAGCGAUUCGAAUAAGAUAUUGUAAGCAGCAGAAGAAGAACAUCUCAUCACCAUCUAAGAAUACAAAGAAGGCUACCAUUCAGGACUUUGAAAAGCAGAUCCAAGAGUGUCUGCACUAUAAAGAGCCCAAGCGCGA